rnacentral:lncRNA from 1 species
UCUCCUUGGGCUCUCCCAGGCCUUCAUUUCUCCGAAGGCUGAUCAUGUUGACUUCUUAAGCCAGUAAGUGACUAGCAUAUUUUUUGGUGCAUUUUGACUAAUUAAACUCCUUUAUUCUGGCAACUAAAUCGCAGUUUGCCAGGCUUCUUCUUGGCAUUGAACUUUAUAUUAACUCCAAAUUUGGAUCAUACUACCAAUUAUCACAAGUCUAUUUGGAAACUAUAAAUUGAUGUACCCAACAACAGCAGGAAUAACCAUCUCAAAUUAUGAUUGAACGCGUGGAUUUAGAGACUCUUCUAUCCAAAUCAUGGCACCUGAGCUGUGUGAUUUGUUGUUGAUUUUGUAGGACAAGCCGACGUUGUUUAACAUAUUGGAGGUGGAUGUGCUUGGCCAGAAGAAGGCAUGGAGUCAACCUCGCCGCCUCUGCACGUCGCAGGUAUAGUAGAUUGCCAUCCCUUCUAAUUUGUUCCCAUAGAAUAGGAUGAACACCCACAUAUCAGUUUGGGUUCAUAUAGUGUGCGUUCUUCUCGAUUGCCUACUCUUGAUGCUUCAUGUCAUUCGACAUUGACAUUUUGUUCCUAUUGAUUUACAUGUUAUAUAAUGAAACUUUAAUUAUCAAGGGUGUAUCAUAUCUUGUCAACUUAUUGUGGUAACUGAAUGUUCUUCUGCAUUCAAGAAAUUUACGGUGUUGAGGAAGCAACAACUCAUGCGUUACAGAUGGUGAGUGGCUAUGGCUUCAAGUUUCCUUUACUUUGGGGACUAAUUAUCUGAUCUAAUGAAGUACAAUGUAAAAAAAUUCUGUACUGAAUGGUGCAUGCUGUAAAUUUGGUUCAAUAAACUUGAAUAGAAUAAACUUGUUUCCUCUCUGAUUGUAUGCUUGCAGUGGAUUAGUGUAGUGCAGUGCAUGCACUUAUUGGGGCAAUUUUAUCUUUUCCUGAAUUUUGCUUGCUUGCUUGUUGUGUGCUUGCUUACACUGCUUGCGGUGCAGUGUAGUGCACUGCUUGAGUAGCAGUAGCAAUUUUUCUUGCUUGUUGUGUGCUUGCUUGCGCUGCUUGCAGUGUAGUGCAGUGCACUGCUUGAGUAGUUAGUAGUACUUGUCCCCUGCAAGGAAAAGUUUCAGUAGCUUAUUUGCUAUUCUCUUCUCUGUAGCAAGUGCAGCAGUAUCCUCUCUUCCUCUCUUCUUUUUCAGUAAGAGUAUUCUCUUCUCUGCUUGUCCUCUCUUCCACAUUUCUUGAUCAUGAUAAUGACAUAUUUCAUGCUGAGGACUUCUCUAAUGACAGAUCUUGAUUUUCUUGAGUAUUUAUUCAUGCUUGCUACUCCUGAGGAGUAUCUCUUGGCUGUCUAUACUAAAUUAAAUGAAUUUGGUUGCAGUAAAUUAAAUGAAUUUGGUUGCAGUAAAUUAAAUGAAUUUGGUUGCAAUAGUUGAUUCAGUUAGUUUUACAGUAGUUUUGAAGGAAUAACAAGGAAAAGUUGUAGUACUCCAUUUAGCUUUUGUGUACUCCUACUGAACAUCUCCAGUACACACUCUGGAGUACUCUGUUUAGCUUUUGUGUACUCCUACUUGAGCUAAAUAAAACUUCCCAGUUAAUUAAAAUUAACUGGAUCAUUAGGCAUGUGUGUGUUGUUUCAGUUUCUGUAGCAGUAGUUGUUCAGUAAUGAUUUUCUCAGUACUCUUGCUUGCUCUUCUCUAAUUACUGGAGUAGCAAGUGCAACAGUAUUGCCCUGCUCUUGUGCCCUCCAGUAGUUAUCUUUUGCCCUCCAACAGUAAUUAAAAUAAACAAUUGAGCGUGUACUUGCUCUCUCUUCUCUUUCUCUUCUCUUCUCUUCUCUUUCUGGUUAAUUACUCCAACAAUUGAGUGUUGCUCAUCUUGUCUUCUGAAACUUAACAGCAGCAACAGCAAGUCCUUUUACUCCAAAAUUAAAUGAAACUUGAUUUUGAAGUGAUCAAAUGAAAAUAUUCACUUAACUUCGAUAGAAUUUUGAAGUACUCUUGAUCCUGUGCUAUACAAUGAAUUUGAGUAACUUGAUCAUGUGCUAUACUAAGAAUUUUGUAUGAAUAAUGAUUUGCUUGCAGUAGUGCUUGUAUGCUGGAAUUUUGGAGUAGCAGUAAAGUUUGGCAGCUGAGUUGCUUGCAGUAGUUGAGUACUCCUGUAUGUGUUAGAGCAAGAUUGCGCUCACCAAGAUCUUAAAUAGGAGCCAUGUUGAAUUCACCAGGAUCUUCCAUGUUUAAGUCACCAGGAUCUCCACCAGGUAUGACUGUGUCCUCUUCGUCGAAUGGAGUGCAAUUGAGAUCGAACUCCAUUGAUCAUUGUGUCCUCAUUGUAUUUACCUCUUGCAGGUGAUGUGCCGUGCUGGACGAUCUGGAGCUGGAUUUGCUACUCGGGCUGGGGCUGGAGCUGGAGCUAGAGCUGGCGUCACCUGCCUCUGCCAGGAGCUGCAACUGCCUCUUCCUUGAGCUGCUCCUGCCUUUGCCUGGACCUGCUGUUGGCUGGAGUUGCGCCUGCUGAUGGCGGAGGAGGGAAGCGGAGGAUCUGUUGGAGGGGGAGGGAGGCGGAGCUGCUGGAUCUGGACAGAGGGCUGAGGAGGAGGAGGGAGGUGGAGGAUCUGGGCAGAGGAUGGAGGAGGAGGGAGGCGGAGCUGCUGGAUCUGGACAGAGGGCCGAGAAGGAGGAGGGGGGUGGAGGAUCUGGGCAGAGGGUGGAGGAGGAGGGAGGCGGAGCUGCUGGAUCUGGACAGAGGGCUGAGGAGGAGGAGGGAGGUGGAGGAUCUGGGCAGAGGGUGGAGGAGGAGGGAGGCGGAGCUUCUGGAUCCGGGAGGAAGAGGGCUGGAGGUAGAGGAAGGAGGCGGAAUUCAAAUUGAGGGGGUAACCUGGUCCUUUUCACGGUUUUCGCCUGGUCGGAGAAUUUCUCCAGCGACUGAUUGCAUUCUUAUGCUUCUAGGUUUAUAUCAGCAACCUGCCUUUACUAUUAGGUUUUCAUAAUUUUGACUACAUAAGUAUGUGUGAUUACUGAACUAUGGACUAUUCAUGCAGUCCUUUAUUUGAGCUUUUAUAUGAGUGCAUUAGAUGCUGGUUUUGAGCAUUUGUUUUGCAUGUUUUUUCCUGAUGUUAUAUUAUCUAUUUACAAGUCUCUCAUGAAGGAGUACCACUCUAUAUGAACUUUUUGUGUUUGUGGUUUUUUAUACUUGAAAUGCUUCGGUGGUUGCAUAUAGAUAUACCCGGCAGCUUGCUG